rnacentral:rRNA from 1 species
GAUGAACGCUGGCGGCGUGCCUAAUACAUGCGAGUCGAGCGAAUGACGAGGAGCUUGCUCCUCUGAUUUAGCGGCGGACGGGUGAGUAACACGUGGGUAACCUGCCUGUAAGACGGGAAUAACUCCGGGAAACCGGAGCUAAUACCGGAUGAUAACGAGAAGCGCCUGCUUCUUUUUUGAAAGUCGGUUUCGGCUGACGCUUACAGAUGGGCCCGCGGCGCAUUAGCUAGUUGGUGAGGUAACGGCUCACCAAGGCGACGAUGCGUAGCCGACCUGAGAGGGUGAUCGGCCACACUGGGACUGAGACACGGCCCAGACUCCUACGGGAGGCAGCAGUAGGGAAUCUUCGGCAAUGGACGAAAGUCUGACCGAGCAACGCCGCGUGAGCGAUGAAGGCCUUCGGGUCGUAAAGCUCUGUUGUCAGAGAAGAACAAGUACCGGAGUAACUGCCGGUACCUUGACGGUGCCUGACCAGAAAGCCACGGCUAACUACGUGCCAGCCGCCGCAGUAAGAC